UGAGUUUGAUCCUGGCUCAGAUUGAACGCUGGCGGCAUGCCUUACACAUGCAAGUCGAACGGCAGCACGGGCGCUUGCACCUGGUGGCGAGUGGCGAACGGGUGAGUAAUACAUCGGAACAUGUCCUGUAGUGGGGGAUAGCCCGGCGAAGGCCGGAUUAAUACCGCAUACGAUCUACGGAUGAAAGCGGGGGACCUUCGGGCCUCGCGCUAUAGGGUUGGCCGAUGGCUGAUUAGCUAGUUGGUGGGGUAAAGGCCUACCAAGGCGACGAUCAGUAGCUGGUCUGAGAGGACGACCAGCCACACUGGGACUGAGACACGGCCCAGACUCCUACGGGAGGCAGCAGUGGGGAAUUUUGGACAAUGGGCGAAAGCCUGAUCCAGCAAUGCCGCGUGUGUGAAGAAGGCCUUCGGGUUGUAAAGCACUUUUGUCCGGAAAGAAAUCCUUGGCUCUAAUACAGUCGGGGGAUGACGGUACCGGAAGAAUAAGCACCGGCUAACUACGUGCCAGCAGCCGCGGUAAUACGUAGGGCGCGAGCGUUAAUCGGAAUUACUGGGCGUAAAGCGUGCGCAGGCGGUUUGCUAAGACCGAUGUGAAAUCCCCGGGCUCAACCUGGGAACUGCAUUGGUGACUGGCAGGCUAGAGUAUGGCAGAGGGGGGUAGAAUUCCACGUGUAGCAGUGAAAUGCGUAGAGAUGUGGAGGAAUACCGAUGGCGAAGGCAGCCCCCUGGGCCAAUACUGACGCUCAUGCACGAAAGCGUGGGGAGCAAACAGGAUUAGAUACCCUGGUAGUCCACGCCCUAAACGAUGUCAACUAGUUGUUGGGGGAUUCAUUUCNUUAGUAACGUAGCUAACGCGUGAAGUUGACCGCCUGGGGAGUACGGUCGCAAGAUUAAAACUCAAAGGAAUUGACGGGGACCCGCACAAGCGGUGGAUGAUGUGGAUUAAUUCGAUGCAACGCGAAAAACCUUACCUACCCUUGACAUGGUCGGAAUCCUGCUGAGAGGUGGGAGUGCUCGAAAGAGAACCGGCGCACAGGUGCUGCAUGGCUGUCGUCAGCUCGUGUCGUGAGAUGUUGGGUUAAGUCCCGCAACGAGCGCAACCCUUGUCCUUAGUUGCUACGCAAGAGCACUCUAAGGAGACUGCCGGUGACAAACCGGAGGAAGGUGGGGAUGACGUCAAGUCCUCAUGGCCCUUAUGGGUAGGGCUUCACACGUCAUACAAUGGUCGGAACAGAGGGUUGCCAACCCGCGAGGGGGAGCUAAUCCCAGAAAACCGAUCGUAGUCCGGAUUGCACUCUGCAACUCGAGUGCAUGAAGCUGGAAUCGCUAGUAAUCGCGGAUCAGCAUGCCGCGGUGAAUUCGUUCCCGGGUCUUGUACACACCGCCCGUCACACCAUGGGAGUGGGUUUUACCAGAAGUGGCUAGUCUAACCGCAAGGAGGACGGUCACCACGGUAGGAUUCAUGACUGGGGUGAAGUCGUAACAAGGUAA
rnacentral:rRNA from 1 species